rnacentral:rRNA from 1 species
AACGAACGCUGGCGGCGCGCCUAAUACAUGCAAGUCGAGCGAGAAGGUGUAGCAAUACACUUGUAAAGCGGCGAACGGGUGAGGAAUACAUGGGUAAUCUACCAUCGAGUGGGGAAUAACCAGCCGAAAGGUUGGCUAAUACCGCGUACGCUUCCGAGUCUUCGGGCUUGGAAGGAAAGCCGCACUGUGAGUGCGGCGCUCUUUGAUGAGCUCAUGUCCUAUCAGCUUGUUGGUAGGGUAACGGCCUACCAAGGCUUUGACGGGUAGCUGGUCUGAGAGGACGAUCAGCCACACUGGCACUGCGACACGGGCCAGACUCCUACGGGAGGCAGCAGUAAGGAAUAUUGCGCAAUGGGCGAAAGCCUGACGCAGCGACGCCGCGUGAAGGAUGAAGUAUUUCGGUAUGUAAACUUCGAAAGAAUAGGAAGAAUUAAUGACGGUACUAUUUAUAAGGUCCGGCUAACUACGUGCCAGCAGCCGCGGUAAUGUG